rnacentral:rRNA from 1 species
UACUCCUACGGGAGGCAGCAGUGAGGAAUAUUGGUCAAUGGACGAGAGUCUGAACCAGCCAAGUAGCGUGCAGGAUGACGGCCCUCCGGGUUGUAAACUGCUUUUAGUUGGGAAUAAAAAGAGGGACGUGUCCCUAAUUGUAUGUACCAUCAGAAAAAGGACCGGCUAAUUCCGUGCCAGCAGCCGCGGUA